GGAUGUAGCCAAGUGGUAAGGCAGUGGACUUUGACUCCAUCAUUCGUAGGUUCAAAUCCUGCCAUC
rnacentral:tRNA from 1 species